CUACGGAGGGUGCGAGCGUUACACGGAGUCACUGGGCGUAAAGCGUCCGUAGGCGGUCGGGUAAGUCGGGUGUGAAAGCCCCGGGCUCAACCUGGGAAGUGCACCCGAUACUGCUCGACUCGAGUGCGGGAGAGGAUGGCGGAAUUCCCGGUGUAGCGGUGAAAUGCGUAGAGAUCGGGAGGAACACCAGUGGCGAAGGCGGCCAUCUGGCCCGCAACUGACGCUGAGGGACGAAAGCGUGGGGAGCAAACAGGAUUAGAAACCCUAGUAGUCC
rnacentral:rRNA from 1 species